rnacentral:rRNA from 1 species
UGCAGUCGACGGGACUUAAUUUGUAGCAAUACAGGUUAAGUUCAGUGGCGAACGGGUGCGUAACACGUGGGGAAUCUGCCGAGAAGUGGGGGAUAGCUCGCCGAAAGGCGAAUUAAUACCGCAUAUGAUCAGCCAAGACAUCUUGGCGACAUCAAAGCCGGGGCAACCUGGCGCUUCUUGAUGACCCCGCGGCCUAUCAGCUAGUUGGUGAGGUAACGGCUCACCAAGGCUUUGACGGGUAGCUGGUCUGAGAGGACGACCAGUCACACUGGAACUGAGACACGGUCCAGACACCUACGGGUGGCAGCAGUCGAGAAUUUUUCUCAAUGGGGGAAACCCUGAAGGAGCGACGCCGCGUGGAGGAUGAAGGCUUUCGGGUUGUAAACUCCUGUCAUUUGAGAACAAGUGUAGCCAAGUAACUACUGGCUACUUGAUAGUAUCAGAAGAGGAAGAGACGGCUAACUCUGUGCCAGCAGCCGCGGUAAUACAGAGGUCUCAAGCGUUGUUCGGAUUCAUUGGGCGUAAAGGGUGCGUAGGUGGCGGGGUAAGUCAGGUGUGAAAUUUCGGAGCUUAACUCCGAAACUGCAUUUGAUACUGCCUUGCUUGAGGACUGGAGAGGAGACUGGAAUUCAUGGUGUAGCAGUGAAAUGCGUAGAGAUCAUGAGGAAGACCAGUGGCGAAGGCGGGUCUCUGGACAGUUCCUGACACUGAGGCACGAAGGCCAGGGGAGCAAACGGGAUUAGAUACCCCGGUAGUCCUGGCAGUAAACGGUGCACGUUUGGUGUGGGAGGAUUCGACCCCUUCUGCGCCGGAGCUAACGCGUUAAACGUGCCGCCUGGGGAGUACGGUCGCAAGAUUAAAACUCAAGGGANUUGACGG